rnacentral:rRNA from 1 species
UACGUAGGGGGGCUAGCGUUGUCCGGAUUUAUUGGGCGUAAAGAGCGUGUAGGCGGCCAUGUAGGUCCGGUGUGAAAACUCGAGGCUUAACCUCGAGAUGUCAUCGGAAACCAUUUGGCUAGAGUCCGGAAGAGGAGAAUGGAAUUCCUGGUGUAGCGGUGAAAUGCGUAGAUAUCGGGAGGAACACCAGUGGCGAAGGCGACUACCUGGCCUGUUUUUGACGCUGAGGCGCGAAAGCUAGGGGAGCAAACGGG